CAGAACUCGGCCCGUCGAGGGAGCUGAGCGGAGCUCCACUGGCCCGACCCUGCGGGAUAAGAAGACGGCUUGGCUCUCCGCAGGGGCCGUCGAAAAUACCCCUGGGGUUGGUCCGCGACCACGACGAGCGACCCUAUUGGCCCAAUACCGGGAAGCGAGGCGGAGCUUCCUCUUUCCGAGCCCCACCUGGGUUUUCAGCGCGCCUCAGGACUGUGCGCCUGCGCGAAGUGCACAGGCUGUGAGCUGGACCUCGGCUGCGCUCUGUAUCUGGAGUUGGACAGGCGGCCGGGACUGGGGACUAUGGAAGCGGACUGGGUAGUACCUGUUGAGCCGAACAAAGGGUACAACCUCAGAGUACUGGUGCUUGAGCAAGGAAUCCCCCUGCUCAUCUUUCAUGUGCUGCAAGUCCUGUUUGAAAAUCAGUACUUCACAGCGUAAUAAAAUUCACUUGGCAUUUAUUGAGGACGCACGGUGUGUCAGGGAUUGUGAUGGGUCUUUAUGUGGCUAUCUCAUUUCAGCUUUACCACAAAUCUGUGAGAAUGGUACGAUUUUUCUCAUUUUAUAAAGUAAUUUGGCUUUAUAAAAUGAGUCUAGACCAGAAUUCUAGACCAGAAUGCAGUCUAGAAGUCAAAACUUCCAACUGCCAAGUGCUAAAACCACUGGUACAACAUAGCUGCCUAAAGGCAUUUAAGGCACACAAGAGGACAGAAAUGCACAAGGUUAUAUCAGAUUGUGACUCAAAGAUGAGAUUUUUAUUUUAGUAUCAUUCAAAGGUGAAACACAGCAACAGCAAUAUAAUGAAGUUUAAAGUCCCUGUCCUCAAUGAAUGUACAAUGUAGUGGGGAACAAAAACAAUGAUUAUUAAAGUGCUAGUUAAGUCUUAUUUUUAAAGAGACCCUAUCUUGUCCAGGCUGCAGUGCAGUGGCUAUUCACAGACGAUCGUAUCACACUCCACCCUCGAACUCCUGGGCGCAAGCUCUCCUACCACCUCAGAUUCCUGAGUAGCUGGGACUGUAUGUAGGCAUGUACCACCGCACCUGGCUCUUAAGACGUGAUAAUUUAUAAAAUAAUUCUACAGCCUCUUCCUUACUCUUCCCCUUUCUUUAUUCCAACUGGCAUAUGCUCUUUUCCUGGUUAAUGAGUCAUCUACAGUGUUUUCUGGUGGAUAAUGCAUCCCGAUCAACCAGAGAAAAAACAGUAAGAAAAAGCUGUGUUCUGUUGCAAUCCCUCUGUGAUUUGUCUAAUACAACAGAAGUGGCUGCACCCCUGCAGAAAAAGAGUUUCGCUUCCUUUCUCCUUAUACAGUUACAAAAUGUCCAUUUCAAGAUAUUCAAAGAAUAAAGUAUUAGGGAGAAAGUAAAAUCCCCUGAACUCCCAACAAAACCACUUUUAACGUUUUGGUGCCCAUACUUUCAUGUAUUUCUUGAUUCAUGUACACCCCAAAUAUUUAUGUAAAUCUUAACAUACAUUUUUAAAUAAAAUUGUACUACACAAUCAAUACAACAUGCCUUGGAGAAUAGAGACAAGCUAAAAUAAAA